CCUGGAGAACUCAUAUCUGUAUCAGAUCCAUUUAUACUACCAGAAGGAGAGAAUAGUUUAUAUACCAACAGUUAUCUGUUACAACCAAGCUCAAGCAACACUACUGAGCAGAUGGAUGAAGAUGUUGUAGUGAAUCACUUCAACAAACAGCCCAGCACACAGGAUGUUGAUGUUGAUGUAGUGACACAUAAC